rnacentral:lncRNA from 1 species
AUUUGCCCCACUCAUCCUUCUGUACCCUCUGACCUAAUGCCGGGUUUAUUAGCAGUGUCCUAUCAUGUAUUAAGUCAUUGCUUAUAAUCAUUGUUUUGAUUUUUAUUAAACUAUGACUUUUGCUGUUAGUGAUAUUAUAAGGAUGUGUCACACAGACCUUCUGACUAGCCCCUCUCUCCAACUUGUCAUGUGUUCUGUGCCUUCUUCCUCUCCCUUUGGUUUGUAAUGUCUUCUUUAUUCUCAGGGCCAUCAUCCUACUCUCACUGGUUUCACCUUUCCUUAUCUGGUCUCCCUGACUGCUGCUAUAUCCUACAAGACUCUCUAGAAAUUGGCUCUUCAUAGCUUUCUCUGUAUAUUAAAAAAAAAAAAAACAAACAAACAAACUUGUUUUCCCUCUUCUGCCUAAAGAAGAAUUGUAAUCCAAAUUUGGUCUCUUUUAUAUCUUAUUCCUGCCAGCCUAAUAGGUUCUACUAAUAAAUGUACAGGAGCACAGCUAAGUACAGGGUUUAAAAUAAAGAUGUCUGACAGCAGGACAUGACCUCGUUCCUGUCUACCAAUUAAACAUAAGACCCUUGUGUUCUAUUCCUUCAGUUCAUACAUAUUUAUUGAGCAUCUCCUAUCUUCAGGACCCAAUGAAAUAUAUGUGGAAUUACAAGCAGGUAAAAAGGAACUUGUGGUGGCUUAGAAAGAAGAGUAAGAAGAUUUUAGCAUUAAGGAAACAAGAAGUUAGGUGAGGCGGGGGUCGGGGGAGAUGCUAGAGAAAAGAGUGAAAACUCCAUGCUUAGAAUAUGGGUCUUUCAGGACCAUUAUAACUUGCAAACCCCAUUGUGUUUUGUACAUGGAGAGAGCUCAAGAACUCAAUACACAUUUAUUGGCAAGUAUGAACAGGGUAGUGAUGAUGAUAAAGCCUUCAGAAUACAAGUUCCAGCUUCUCCUUAGAGCUGUUAACUUUGUUAUUUAGCAUCUUAGUUUUUUUUUUCAUUUUCUAAUGAAUGAAUGCCAGCAAGUCUUUUUAAAUUUUUUUCCCAUCUGAUCAAGACUUAGAUAAUUUCUGCUUCUUUGGUAGCUAACAUCCCACAAACUCAGCUUCAUGCUUCAGUGUGAAGAUAUUAUGGUACUGCCAAUGGAAACCACUUCACAUUUGGGCAACAUCAUCAUGUCUAAAUGGCUCAGAUUCAAGUUUCAGGAUAGAUACAGGUUCCUACACAUUUGCUGUCAAAAAACCACUUUGUAGGAGCCAAACAGUGGAAUUCUUCCAAGUGGUAGGCACUAUUAGAAGCACCAUUAAAAUACUGCAGAAUUUGAAAGAUGAUAGUUGUUUUUUUUUUUUUUAACAUAGCAUGAUCUGUGGUAUUUCUAUGAAAUGUUAAUCAGUUCUUGUUUCUGUUGUGGAGCUGAAGGUAAUAGAAAGUUCCAACUUUGACUUAUCUUAAAGCCUGUCAUUUGUAAAGACUAUGACGGGAUUUAAAGAUAACUCAAAGUAGGAACUUGUAUAAAAAUUUUGUGUUGCUUUAUACAAAAGUGAGUGUGUAGAACAAUUCAAGUGUUAAAAUGCAACUAUAAAUGCAACUUUAAGAAGACAUUGUGGUCAAUGUGAACUAACCAGUACCCCCAGAGCUCCCUGGGACUAAACCACCAAACGAAGAAAACACAUGGUGGGACUCAUGGCUCCAACUGCAUAUGUAGCAGAGGAUGGCCUAGUCGGUCAUCAAUGAGAGGAGAGGCCCUAGGUCCUGUGAAGAUUCUAUGCCCCAGUAUAGGGGAAUGAAUGCCAGAGCCAGGAAUGGGAUUGGGUGGGUUGGGGAGCAGGGGGAGAGGAGAGGGGGUAGAGGAUUUUUGGAGGGGAAACUAGGAAAGGGGAUAACAUUUAAAAUGUAAAAAAAAAAAUUUAAUUAAAAAUAAAAUU